rnacentral:tRNA from 2 species
GGCGGCGUAGCUCAACUGGUAAGAGCAUGCGGCUCAUAUCCGCAAGGUUCGGGGUUCGAGUCCCUGCGCCGCCACCA